ACCGGCAGCGGACGGUGAGGGGACGGGCAGCGGCCCCCGGGCCCCCGGGCGAGCGGAUCCGCCUCGGCCGGGGCCAUCCGCGCUCCCUUGGGCCGUGCGCGGGGCCCCGCGGGGCCGCACGGCCGGGCCGGGGACAGUGAGCGCUCUGCUUUUCCCUUCGCGGCCUCCUGCCGCAUUAGCCCCGGCUGCCAUUCCAGCCCGGCUCUGGGGGAGAAGGACGCUGUGUUAAAGCUGUGCUUGGAAGUGUUAUCCUUAGGAGAUUUUUAGAUAGUACUACUUCCAUAAUUUAGUAUUCUCCUAGCCACAGAAUCCUUGUCUAUCCCAGCUGGAUUACGUGACAUCUCAGGAAAUCAUUCAUCAGCCACUUGAUGUGUUUGUUAACAUACCUGGAGUUCAUCUACCUUCAGGAGAAUUUCAGCCAAAGAACCAAUCAUAUGUAAAGCACCAUCUUUCUUGCGAGGAUCAGCAUUUGGCUCCGUAAGGAUCUGAUAACAAAAGCCCAUUGUCUUCUGCAGGACCUAGAUUACAUGGAAGGCCAGCACAAAGAAUUAACUGGGUUAAAAAAUGCUCCAUUUCUCAUUUCUCUGCAGAAGAGGAUUAUCAGAGCCUUGUGUAAUACCUGUAGUGUUUACAGGUAUGCCCCUGACCUGAGGGAUAAAAACUCCCAAACCCCUCAAGAUUCCUUGUUCUAGCCAUAUAAACAUUCUUAGAGAAGGGAAGAAUUUGUUCAGGGAGUCUGAAGUAUUUUUUUGUUCCCAGCCUCAGAGGACUGCACAGACUUAGAAUAAACUCCAGCCUAAAGUAGCAGAGCACAGGAGGUGAAAUGGGACAAGUCUGGAAUGCCAGGCUUACUCCAUAAUGUGUCAUUUAGCACUGGGGUAAAUCUGCUCUGAACUGUGCCAUGGGUGAAAUUCCCUAAGAAAUCCAGGGCCUGAAAUAUUAACUGUUUAUGGUGUAAGCUUUAAAUGACAUUAAAUUUAUGUAGUUGUUGCUAGCAAGACCAGCACUGUUUGACUUGCAAUAAAAACUCUGUAACUGUAAAAAUUAAAUACUUUCAC